GGAGUCUGGACCGUGUCUCAGUUCCAGUGUGGGGGACCUUCCUCUCAGAACCCCUACCGAUCGUCGCCACGGUGGGCCGUUACCCCGCCGUCAAGCUAAUCGGACGCAUCCUCAUCCAUGGCCGAUGAAUCUUUACUCCCAAAGGGAUGUCCCUAAAGGAGACCAUCAGGUAUUAAUCUUUCUUUCGAAAGGCUAUCCCUGAGCCGUGGGUAGAUUGGAUACGUGUUACGCACCCGUGCGCCGGUCGCCAUCAAAAGUAGCAAGCUACUCUCAUGCUGCCCCUCGACUUGCAUGUGUUAAGCCUGUAGCUAGCGUUCAUC
rnacentral:rRNA from 1 species